UGGGGGAUAUUGCACAAUGGGCGCAAGCCUGAUGCAGCGACGCCGCGUGGGGGAUGAAGGCCUUCGGGUUGUAAACUUCUUUUGCUCUGAACAAGGCGCACUUUGGGGUGUGUUGAGUGUAGGGGUUGAUUAGCGCCGGCUAACUACGUGCCAGCAGCCGCGGUAAUACGUAGGGCGCGAGCGUUGUCCGGAAUUAUUGGGCGUAAAGGGCUUGUAGGUGGCUGGUUGCGUCUGUCGUGAAAGCUCAUGGCUUAACUGUGGGUUUGCGGUGGGUACGGGCUGGCUUGAGUGCAGUAGGGGAGGCUGGAAUUCCUGGUGUAGCGGAGGAAUGCGCAGAUAUCAGGAGGAAUACCGGUGGCGAAGGCGGGUCUCUGGGCUGUUACUGACACUGAGGAGCGAAAGCAUGGGGAGCGAACAGG
rnacentral:rRNA from 1 species